AGAUUGAGCACAAUCAAAUAUACAGAAAUGGAUGGCUGAUAUCCAAUUAUCAGAUCUCGAGCACUGUAGAUAUUUAUUCAUUUCGAUAAACAUGUCUUGGAAUUGGUACCUCUUAGUUUUGGAUUUGAAGGAGCGAUGCUUUGACUGCUAUAACUCAAUGUAGAGCUUCAAUGUAUCAGAUGAUGCUAAUAAAUAUGUGUAUAACAUUAUUCAAUAUUUGUUUGUUACUUUUAUUUGUAACAACAUCUAUAAGUAAUUUAUUGUAUUUCUUACCAUAUGUGUGUGGGCAAUGUUUGUACAUUUUUAGUUGCCAG
rnacentral:lncRNA from 1 species